GCCUGAUGCAGCAACGCCGCGUGAGGGACGACGGCCUUCGGGUUGUAAACCUCUUUUAGUAGGGAAGAAGCGAAAGUGACGGUACCUGCAGAAAAAGCACCGGCUAACUACGUGCCAGCAGCCGCGGUAAUACGUAGGGUGCAAGCGUUGUCCGGAAUUAUUGGGCGUAAAGAGCUCGUAGGCGGUUUGUCGCGUCUGCUGUGAAAACUGGAGGCUCAACCUCCAGCCUGCAGUGGGUACGGGCAGACUAGAGUGCGGUAGGGGAGAUUGGAAUUCCUGGUGUAGCGGUGGAAUGCGCAGAUAUCAGGAGGAACACCGAUGGCGAAGGCAGAUCUCUGGGCCGUAACUGACGCUGAGGAGCGAAAGCAUGGGGAGCGAACAGGAUUAGAUACCCUGGUAGUCCAUGCCGUAAACGUUGGGAACUAGAUGUAGGGACCAUUCCACGGUUUCUGUGUCGCAGCUAACGCAUUAAGUUCCCCGCCUGGGGAGUACGGCCGCAAGGCUAAAACUCAAAGGAAUUGACGGGGGCCCGCACAAGCGGCGGAGCAUGCGGAUUAAUUCGAUGCAACGCGAAGAACCUUACCAAGGCUUGACAUAUACGAGAACGGGCCAGAAAUGGUCAACUCUUUGGACA
rnacentral:rRNA from 1 species